AAUAUGUUAAACUCGGUAGCUUAGCGUCAGCAGCAACAGAACUUAAGCAAGGCGUUCCACAAGGUUCUAUCUUAGGACCCUUGUUAUUUAUACUUUAUAUAGAUGAUAUAUGUAAUAUUCCUUACACAGAAAAACUAGUCAUGUACGCAGAUGACACGAAUGCCUUUUUCAGUGCUGAUACAAUGGCCGAUCUUCAAGUUACUGUAUCUAAUUAUUUAAGACACCUGGAACUGUGGCUCCAUGAAAACAAGCUUGACUUAAACGCAGGGCACCACGCUGGAAUGUGUUAAAACGCAAAAAUUUCUAGGAGUAUGGUUUGAGGAAAACAUGCCGUGGAAUACGCAUGUGUCAAAACUGGUCUCUGAAUUAGGCAAAACUGUAGCUUGCAUGUAUAAGCUAUCAGACCUUGUACCAUUAUGGCUUAAAAAGGCUAUAUACUACGCCCAUUUCUAUUCUCUGUUAUCUUAUUGCGCCCUAGUAUGGGCAAAAACGUCUGCACAGAACCUCAACAAACUAGAGAUGUUACAGAAAAAAGUUCUUAGAAUAUUAAAAAAUUUUUAUGGGCUUCCCUUGCGAACUACGUACUCAUCAGCUCUUUAUAAAUCAUGAUUUUAUUAGAGCACGUGACCUUUACGCAUAUAAACUAAUACUUUAUACUCAGAAAAACAAACUUCAUCUGCAUUCAGUUGACAGCUCAUGUCGAUACACUCUCCGAAACUCUCCGAUACACUCUCCGAAACCAACUAAGAGCAGUUCCCUUUUCUUGCACACGUUACGGAGAAUGCCUUCUACACCACCAGAUACAAACAGUAUUGAACAAAUUUUAACUGGUAUUGACUUCGAACUGCCUGAACGUAAAUUCAAGAAACAUGUGCGAAGUAUGUUGCUACAGAUAUAGAAACUGCUCAAAUAGCACUAGAUAUCUUAUGUUAUCAUGUUUUUAUCACGUGUUCUUCUUUGUAUAAAAAUUGUUGUUUUUGCGCAUGUGCGUACAAGAUUUGUGACCCAUGUGAAAUUGUGUGUUUAUUUUGUUCACUAAAAGGAAAACAACUAAGCUUUUAUUUUGCCUAUGCAUGUACAGUGAAUUACGCGAUAUUUUUGUAAAAUGCCUGCUGCUCUUGAAGGGUUCUUAGGCUCUCUCAAGAUGUCUCCGACAUCUUUUCGCCUAAGGACCUCCGACUUGAUGUUGUUGGAAAUAAACUUGACUUGACUUGAUGAUG